rnacentral:rRNA from 1 species
AGUCGACCGCCUGGGGAGUACGGCCGCAAGGUUAAAACUCAAAUGAAUUGACGGGGGCCCGCACAAGCGGUGGAGCAUGUGGUUUAAUUCGAUGCAACGCGAAGAACCUUACCUGGCCUUGACAUCCACGGAAUUCGGCAGAGAUGCCUUAGUGCCUUCGGGAACCGUGAGACAGGUGCUGCAUGGCUGUCGUCAGCUCGUGUUGUGAAAUGUUGGGUUAAGUCCCGCAACGAGCGCAACCCUUAUCCUUUGUUGCCAGCACGUAAUGGUGGGAACUCAAAGGAGACUGCCGGUGAUAAACCGGAGGAAGGUGGGGAUGACGUCAAGUCAUCAUGGCCCUUACGGCCAGGGCUACACACGUGCUACAAUGGCGCAUACAAAGAGAAGCGACCUCGCGAGAGCAAGCGGACCUCAUAAAGUGCGUCGUAGUCCGGAUCGGAGUCUGCAACUCGACUCCGUGAAGUCGGAAUCGCUAGUAAUCGUAGAUCAGAAUGCUACGGUGAAUACGUUCCCGGGCCUUGUACACACCGCCCGUCACACCAUGGGAGUGGGUUGCAAAAGAAGUAGGUAGCUUAACCUUCGGGAGGGCGCUUACCACUUUGUGAUUCAUGACUGGGGUGAAGUCGUAACAAGGUAACCGUA